ACGAACGCUGGCGGCGUGCUUAACACAUGCAAGUCGAGCGGUAAGGCCUUUCGGGGUACACGAGCGGCGAACGGGUGAGUAACACGUGGGUGAUCUGCCCUGCACUCUGGGAUAAGCCUGGGAAACUGGGUCUAAUACCGGAUAUGACCUUCUCUCGCAUGGUUUUUGGUGGAAAGAUUUAUCGGUGCAGGAUGGGCCCGUGGCCUAUCAGCUUGUUGGUGGGGUAAUGGCCUACCAAGGCGACGACGGGUAGCCGGCCUGAGAGGGUGACCGGCCACACUGGGACUGAGACACGGCCCAGACUCCGACGGGAGGCAGCAGUGGGGAAUAUUGCACAAUGGGCGGAAGCCUGAUGCAGCGACGCCGCGUGGGGGAUGAAGGCCUUCGGGUUGUAAACGGCUUUCAGCAGGGACGAAGCGUGAGUGACGGUACCUGCAGAAGAAGCACCGGCUAACUACGU
rnacentral:rRNA from 1 species